AACUCUUGCUUAUGCCUAACUUUACAUUGCAGAUUAUGUUUACAAAGCUAUAGAUGAUCUGCCUUCCACAACUCAUUUAAUGACUCUAUUUGCUAGCGGUGUUAUGGCCCUUCAGGUUCAAAGUGAGUUUCAGAAGGCAUAUGGGAAGGGUGAUGUUCAUAAGUCAAAGGGUGAUGUUCUUAUGAGGUUUGAAGAGAGUGAAGAAGAUUCAGAACAACAAGCAUAUGAUAACGCAAUUGGGCAAUCUGAUUCUUCUAGUCUUUGACAGUCCCCCUCCUCGGAUCAAUCAAUUACGUCUUCCUUGUCACAAAGUUUGGAGAUGAUGAUGAUGCAUAUGCGUUAUAACCCAACAUGCAACAGUUAAGUAAAUUUUUUUCUUCAUCUGUGUACUUGGUUGACUGAGAGAGGUGACUGGAUGUACGCUGGGAAACCUCAUUGCUUGAUGCACAUGAGGGAAUAUGCUUUAGGGGCAUGUUUGAUUCCUGAACGCCAGAAAGUGUUACCUUCAGCUCUAUCUGGAGUAUUCUUUAGGUUUAAGCUGUUCAAUAUUUUUUUUUAAAGCAAAGUAAUAAUUAAAACAUGGAAUUAUUAUCAAUUCUUAUAUAACAUGAUUAUUUAAAUAAUUUAAAUGAAAUUUAA